UACGAAGGGGGCUAGCGUUGCUCGGAAUCACUGGGCGUAAAGCGCACGUAGGCGGAUUGCUAAGUCAGGGGUGAAAUCCUGGAGCUCAACUCCAGAACUGCCUUUGAUACUGGCGCCUUGAGUCCGGGAGAGGUGGAGUGGAACUGGCGAAGUGUAGAGGUGAAAUUCGUAGAUAUUCGCAAGAACACCAGUGGCGAAGGCGGCUCACUGGCCCGGUACUGACGCUGAGGUGCGAAAGCGUGGGAGCAACAGGG
rnacentral:rRNA from 1 species